ensembl:lincRNA
GCGCCGGAUGCUGACACGCUGUUACCGCUGUUAUAUUUAAACCGAGACGCAAAUGUAAAAGUGUGACAUCACGAAGACCCCUCCGAGCGCCUCUACGACACACACACACACACACACAGAUUCAGCAGUUGGUUAGUGAGACCAGCAGGGGGUCGGAUCGCUUUCCCCUGAUCUCCAGCCUUCAGCUCCAGCUCUCAGUCUCAGUGCUGCAUGAGAGAGGGAGGAGGAGGAGGAGAGGAGGACACUUCCCUCUCCAGCAGCAGCAGCACACGCGAGGGAUGCGCUUCACCGCCUUAGGGGACUGGAUGGAUGGAGCGACAGGGUCAUGAAGGUGCCCGCAACCUCUGGGUUGGAUUUAGGGGGCCGUUACCGCAGAAGGAGACCAUCCAUAAUUAAUAAGAGCGAGCCGGAGAUCCUAGAACCGAAGCGCAAGCAGCACCGGCGAGUCAUGUCACCAACUGACAGCGCUUCCAGAGGAGCUGACGAGGAGGACAAAGGAGGAUGAAGGAGGUAGAGGUGGAUUAUAAUGAAGCUGAGUGGCAAAGGACUGUGCACCAUCGUCUCCAGCAGUCUGCUCUUCGUGUGCGCCGUGAGCGCGGUGGUCGUGGGAUUCAAAUGCAUCGCGCUGGGCUCCGGGGUGCGAACGCACUUCCACCUGGCCACCGCGGCCGGCGCCUUCUACUCGGGCAUCCUGGUGGCUCUCGGGCAGGUCCUGAUGGGGGUGGCGCUGGUCUUUUGCCGGGGCAAGCCCAGGUGCGCCAAUUUCUUCCUCUUUGGGAUCUUAGUGUUUCUGUUGGGGGUCCUCACGGCGUUCUCGGGCGCGGUGGUGGACGGAGACACGGUGUCCCUUGUGGAGAGGAAGUACGCGCACUAUUGCCAGGACUCUGUGGAUGUAAACCCGGCGUGCGACCGGCUCAAGGUGUACCAGAAGGGUCUGGUGGUCUCCACCGUCCUUAACACUUUGGAGUGCCUCCUGGGGCUGAUGAACCUGGUGAUCAUUAAGCGUUACCAAGCGGCGCAGUUUCACCGGAGACGCCGAGCGCAGCGGCAGAGCGCGCGCAUCAUCCUUAACGAGGAGCGCGACUUCGCGGUUACGGAGUUCCAGCCGGUGUCCUACAUCAACUUAGGGGUGUUUCACGCGUUGGACGAGACGGACGGGGAGGUGCAAAGUCGGGGUCACCCGUCUAUGGAGCUGCCAGGCUAUUCGCCCUCGAACCCGGAGCUAAAUCACACGUACCCGUUUUCCUACCCGCUUCACAACGAGUUGCCACCCGCGUACGAGGACAUAUUCCCCGGGGAAACGAGCGGCAAAUAGCGCGGGAACAUUGCAGUUUUGCACUGACAAUCACGCAGUCGGCACGCCGAACUUGGAAUCGACACCUUUAUUUCGGUGUGACGGCGACCAGCUGUUGCCUAAUGCACUUUUUUAUCCAUCCGAGGUUUUAGCCAACAUUGGAAAUCCUACAGGCGGUGAACAGUCGUUCAUAAACGAUCCAGAGAAGGUAAACGUACGGAAGGGAUUAUAAGUAUACAUGCAACAUUUGUUUUUUUCCACCCUCCUGACUGGCUCCUGAUUGCAUUCUCGGUUCACCCCUUGUCAAAAUCCCAAAGGUUUGUGUACAGGAUUCCUAAUCGGAAGUUCGGGACCUUUCCUAAAGGAUAAUUUUCUUACAGUAUUCCAGCAGGGCACAAAAACAAAAGAAGUUACCAAUAUAUGAGAAGGUAAACGUACUGAAAGUAUGCUUGAAGUAAACAUGCAACGUUUGUUUUUGUUUUUUUUGACCUCCCUGAUUGAUUGUAUUCCGAAUUCACCCCUAGUCAAAUUCCUACACGCAUGUGUACAGGAUUCCCAUGGAAAUGGCUAUAAUUGGGAAGCAAACAACACCAAGGAUUUGUUUUAUAAUAUUGUAACAAGCCACAAACAUACUGAAAUAAACCAUCUGCUUGCUUAUAUUCUCAGUUCAUCUCUAUGUGGAACUUCACUCUUAAAAAUAAAGUUUAUUAACCAGCUUUGAUGGUUCCACGAAGAAACUUUAACGUCUUUGCUUCCAUCAAUCUUUAAAUUCCAAAAACAUUAAGGUGAAAUAAGAUACUUUAGAUCAGUGAUUCUCAAACUUUUUUUCAUCAAGUUCCACCUCAGAAAAAAUUGUCCCUCCGAGUACCACCAAAUGACCAGUAAUUGAAAUACAAUAACGUAGUAGGCCUAAGCAGCGGCAGCUCUGCACAGUUUAAAAAUGUGGCGGAUUUAUUACUAUUAUUAAUAAUAUUUAUAAUUAUCUGACACUUUCAGCCUCAUAAAUAGUUUGAACAUUAACACUACUGCGCUUAUAUGUAAAAAAACAGACAAAAUAAAAUGUCAACGUUUAAAUUAAAAUGUGCUUUUAAAAGUUCUUUAAAAAUGAUAGGCUACUGUUCUUAAAAUGUAAAAAAAAUCUCCUGUACUUAAAUGUAAAGUGUUAACCUAUAGUAUCCUAUUCAUCAAAGCCUGGAAAUGCUGCUUGGACCUCAUAAAUAUAGGCUAUAUGUCAUCAUAUUCAUAUAUGAACCAUUUUUGAUACAUUUUUAAAUACAUGUUGCAUGUACAUGUAUUGGGUUACUCUGCAUUCCACUAGAAGGUGGUAUGCAUACCACAGUUUGAGCCCCACUGCUUCAGAUUAUGAAAUUGCUCUUCACAUAUGGAAAAACUGAUUUCACUCAAAAGUUUCUUUAAUGGCAUCAUAGAAAAAACCCUGUUGGCUUCUCAAAGGCACCUUUAUUUUUAAGACUUUAUGAUUUAGAGCUAUUCGUUAUGUUUUAAAAGUUAUUAUUCCAACAAGUUCCCAGGUGAUCCAUUAGGAGUUUAACAUAAUAAAACAUCCCUGUCCCUGUAGGACAUCAAGUGCAGUUUUCUUCUGAAAGGCCUAAAAUGAGACAUCUAAUGUUCAGCCUUGUGAUUUGUUUAUAAUCUCUCCAUCCUUGGUGUUUUAGCAAAAAGCCAUUGACAUUAAAAUGACAGGCGUUCCCCAUCAGACGGAACAUUUCGGCUGUGGCUCAUGAUUGAUGUUUGUACAUCUUGUUGUUUUAGACUAAUAAGAGAACACAUUGAGCUGAAUCACAGUUCUUCUGGCUUCAGCAUUUUCUGUCCUACAGGUCAGACAGCUGUGUGAUUUCCUGAAGUGUAUUUACUGGAAGUCACUAAUAAUACUUAUAAAUAGCCUUCAUGACCGAUUAUUUCCCCAGUUUAAUUAAUCUUUUUGCACAUAAUUUCUAUUUGAAUGUAUGCUAUUUUAUAAUAUUCCAACAAAUAAAACAAAAAUUAGUAUUUUUAUAUUGUCAAAUAAGUAUUAUUAUGCAUCAAAGUUGCAUUAGCACUUUAAAAGGCAUAUACAGUCGUUCACCCAAAACUGAAAGUCUGCUAAUAAUUUGCUCAACUAUUUGUUUGUCCAAUAUGCAAGUAACUUUUUUCUUCUCUGUCAGAGAGUGUGUUUCAUAAAAUGCAAGUCAAUGACUACCCGCACUGUAGUUUACAAAAUAAAUAAAUAAAUAAAUACAUUUAUCAGGCAAAAUCAAUAUAUUUUGGCUCAUUACGAAACACUGUGCCCUUAUUAAGUGUGGUUUAUUCAUAAACUAAUUUCGAGAUGAUCACGUGCUUAUAAUCAACACGGCUGGCUCCUUGUUAGCUCCGUAAUCAGCCCUAUUAGAUGAUUACGGAAGCAUUAUAAAUAACCAGAGUUUUUCACUCCAGUUAUCUUCGUCUUGAAGCUCUCCCCCUUUCCACCUCUACAUCCUCCCACUUUUUCUGAUUGGGCGACACGGUGGCCCAGUGGCUAGCACUGUUGCCUCACAGCAAGAACACCGCUAGUCCAACCCAUCGGGCUGGUUGGUGUUUCUGUGUGGAGUUUGCAUGUUCUCCCCGUGUUCGCGUGGGUUUUCCCCGGGUUCCCCGGUUUCCUCCCACCGUCCAAAAACAUAAACCAUAGCCAAUCGACUAAAACAAAGUAUCACCCAAUACAACCUGAGUUUACACUUCUCACGGUGACAAGCAGGGGAGUUCUCGAGACCUACCUGACCUCGAAUUCCCCUCUCGCCCUUCUAACGGGAGGGAGCCCUGGGCUCGAGGAUAUUACGAGCUCAGGGCUCUCUCCCGGGACAGCAUGCCAAAUACGCUUUAUUGAUUAUCAGCUAAGUGUGAACUCUUGAAAGCUAAACGAUCAUUUACAGCCUUCUUACCUUUAAUCCACAGCUCUAAAGGUAGUGCAAUGCUCCCAAAACCAAACCUAUCACUUAUUUUAUAGAUGUUAGUAUUUAUUUAUUCAAUACUAGUACUUGUUAAAGGGAUAAUUCACCCAGAAAUGUAAACGCUGUCAUCAUUUACUCACGCUUGUCACAAAUCUGUUAAACAGGAGUGUUGGGUUGGCGCAAUAGCCUAGUGGUUAGUGUGCUGACAUAUGGUGCAAUAGCAUGUCAGGGCGUCGCGAGUUCGAAUCCUGGCUCAACGACAUUUCCCUACCCCCCCCCUCUCUCUCUCUCUCCCACUUCACUUCCUGUCUCAAUACUAUCCUACUAAUAAUAAAGGCAAAAAGGCCAAAACUAAAUCUUAAAAAAAAAAAAAAAAACAGGAGUGUUGGGUUGGCGCAAUAGCCUAGUGGUUAGCAUGCCGACAUAUGGUGCAAUAGCACAUCAGGGUAUUGCGAGUUUGAAUCCUGGCUCAACGACAUUUCCCUACCCCCCCCCCCCCUCUCUCUCUCUCUCCCACUUCACUUCCUGUCUCAAUCCUAUCUAAUAAUAAAGGCAAAAAGGCCAAAACUAAAUCUUAAAAAAAUAAAAAAAAAACAGGAGUGUUGGGUUGGCGCAAUAGCCUAGUGGUUAGUGUGCCGACAUAUGGUGCAAUAGCAUGUCAGGGCGUCGCGAGUUCGAAUCCUGGCUCAACGACAUUCCCCCCCCCCUCUCUCUCUCCCACUUCACUUCCUGUCUCAAUACUAUCCUAUCUAAUAAUAAAGGCAAAAAGGCCAAAACUGAAUCUUAAAAAAAAAAAAACAGGAGUGUUGAAAACCUGUAACCACUGACUUCCAUAAUAUGCGUUUUCCUUAGUAUGCAAGUCAAUAGUUACAGAUUUCCACCAUUCUUCAAAAUAUCUUCUUUUAUGUCCAACAGAAAAAUGAAACCCAAAGGCAUAGGCAUUGAGUAGAUGUUUAUUUUGAGUGAACUUUUAACCUGAACCAUUAAUCCUGAGUCUGUUUGCUUCAUAAGAUCUGAAUGUACCAUCAAGAGUUUAUUUUAUGAGCCUUAAAGUGGCCGCAGUCGCAUUUUAUGAAAACAAACACAAGUAAAAAGUCUUCUACUUGUUCUUUGCAACACUAUUUAACAGUAUGAUUACCUUUAAUAAUCAAUUAAGAAUAAAGAAACGUCACUAGCGAAUAUCUCAUCAGCGAUUUAACUCUAAAAGCUGCCUAAAGUUUCUUUGGGAAUCCUGCACACAAAAAUCUUCGACUAGAGAUGCCCGUGUAGAUUCUUAGCGUUGCUCUAUUGUUUCCCCCCCUCAUAUUGCUUCCGUUGAGCUUCUGAAUAAAAGGUGUACUUACUCUC